GUGGUAUUCUUUUGUUAUACCCUUUUCAGAGCAAAAGUCUUUUCCUGCUAGCAUCAGAGGAAAGAAACAAGUUCUCUUAGCUGUGAGAAGAAAAGCAAUCCAUCUGACCUCACAAAUACUCGUUGUCCUGGACUGAGAUAAAAAUAUCAGUCUCCAUGCUAGAGAAAGACUCCAGGUGACAUUAUAGAAGUCGGAGUGUCAAAGCCAUCUUGCUUACUCUGGAUUUCAAACAACAACUUUGAGACCAUCUAUAUUAGAGAUGAUCUGUUCUGUGGAAAGAGACGAGCUACAGAUGCAAUACGUCUUGAUUUUCAGGUAAAGAGAGGAAGUGUCUCAUGGGUGUUGUAUGUCGUAUCUGGUAAGCUCUAAGCCUGAGAAUGUCCAGCCAUUACUCUUUAGAAAUAAUUCCA